rnacentral:rRNA from 1 species
UACGUAGGGUGCAAGCGUUAAUCGGAAUUACUGGGCGUAAAGGGCUUGUAGGUGGCCAACUAAGUCAGACGUGAAAUCCCCCGGCUUAACCGAGGAACUGCGUCUGAUACUGGAUGGCUAGAGUGUGGGAGAGGGAUGCGGAAUUCCAGGUGUAGCGGUGAAAUGCGUAGAUAUCAGGAGGAACACCGGCGGCGAAGGCGGCCCUCUGGAUCGUUGCUGACGCUGAGACGCGAAAGCGUGGGGAGCAAACAGG